CCAUUUAUUCGUUCAAAAUGUUUUCGAUAAAACUAUAAGCGAUUCGAUUGUAUUGCACUGGACGAACAUAAUCACAUAACUAAAUUUUAUCUAUUACAAAGAAUACUGACGCGUAAUACGGUGUGGUCAAAGUUUGCUUCAAAGUUUUAAAAAAUUCAAAUAUUAACGUCCGAGAUGCCGAAAGAUAUCAAGCGAAUACGCUUUCAAAAUAAC